GACGAACGCUUGCGGCGUGCCUAACACAUGCAAGUCGAACGGAAGUAAGUGCUUCGGUAUUUACUUUAGUGGCGAACGGGUGAGUAACGCGUGAGGAACCUGCCUUUCAGUGGGGGACAACAGUUGGAAACGACUGCUGAUACCGCAUAAUGUUUCCGAGUCCGCACUGGAUUGGAAACCAAAGCUUUAUGUGCUGAAAGAUGGCCUCGCGUCUGAUUAGAUAGUUGGUAGGGUAACGGCCCACCAAGGCGACGAUCAGUAGCCGGUCUGAGAGGAUGAACGGCCACAUUGGGACUGAGAUACGGCCCAG
rnacentral:rRNA from 1 species